CCUACGGGAGGCAGCAGUGGGGAAUAUUGGACAAUGGGCGAAAGCCUGAUCCAGCAACGCCGCGUGAGGGAUGACGGCCUUCGGGUUGUAAACCUCUUUCAGCAGGGACGAAGCGCAAGUGACGGUACCUGCAGAAGAAGCACCGGCCAACUACGUGCCAGCAGCCGCGGUAAUACGUAGGGUGCGAGCGUUGUCCGGAAUUAUUGGGCGUAAAGGGCUCGUAGGCGGUUUGUCACGUCGGGAGUGAAAACUCGGGGCUUAACCCCGAGCCUGCUUCCGAUACGGGCUGACUAGAGGUAUGCAGGGGAGAACGGAAUUCCUGGUGUAGCGGUGAAAUGCGCAGAUAUCAGGAGGAACACCGGUGGCGAAGGCGGUUCUCUGGGCAUUACCUGACGCUGAGGAGCGAAAGUGUGGGGAGCGAACAGGAUUAGAUACCCUGGUAGUCCACACCGUAAACGUUGGGCGCUAGGUGUGGGGCUCAUUCCACGAGUUCCGUGCCGCAGCUAACGCAUUAGCGCCCCGCUGGGGAUACGGCCGCAAGGCUAAAACCGUCAAAAGUAGUAGUACGGCGUGAGAGACGCGACGACGACGACGACGGAGGAG
rnacentral:rRNA from 1 species